rnacentral:rRNA from 1 species
GACGAACGCUGGCGGCGUGCCUAAUACAUGCAAGUCGAAAGCAGUGGGGACGGGUGAGUAACACGUGGGUAACCUCCCAUCAGAGGGGAUAACCCUUGGAAACAGGUGCUAAACCGAUACUGAUGGAUGGACCCGCGGUGCAUGAGCUAGUGGGUGAGGUAACGGCUCCCCAAGGCAACGAUGCAUAGCCGACCGAUGAGGGUGAUCGGCCACACUGGAACUGAUAAACGGCCCAGACUCCUACGGGAGGCAGCAGUAGGGAAUCUUCGGCCAUGGACGAAAGUCUGACCGAGCAACGCCGCGUGAGUGAAGAAGGUUUUCGGAUCGUAAAACUCUGUUGUUAGAGAAGCGGUAUCUAACCAGAAAGCCACGGCUAACUACGUGCCAGCAGCCGCGGUAAUAC